AAGCUCGUAGUUGAAUUUCGGGGUUCUACCGUUGGUCGGGCUAACCAGUCUGUACUAGCGUGUAGAAUUCCUACCUUCUGGGGAACCAUCAUGUUAUUAAUUUAGCGUGGUGGGAAACCAGGACCUUUACCUUGAAAAAAUUAGAGUGUUCAAAGCAGGCUUACGUCUGAAUACAUUAGCAUGGAAUAAUAAAAUAGGACGGUGGUCCUGUUUUGUUGGUUUCUGAAUCACCGUAAUGAUCAAUAGGGAUAGUUGGG
rnacentral:rRNA from 1 species